AAGAAGGCCAACGUUUUUUUUAUUCACCCCAUCAUUUCCCUCUUGAAACCAAACUGAAAAUAAGUUCGGUGAAAUCGAGGAGCGUGGCAGCAGCUCAUCACGACUUGAAGUCGACGUGUCUCGACAACAGCGGAAACGAUUUGGUCGUG
ensembl:ncRNA VC5.14 ncRNA